AACGAACGCUGGCGGCAGGCCUAACACAUGCAAGUCGAACGCCGUAGCAAUACGGAGUGGCAGACGGGUGAGUAACGCGUGGGAACCUUCCCUAUGGUUCGGAAUAGCUCAGGGAAACCUGGGGUAAUACCGGAUAAGCCCUUCGGGGGAAAGAUUUAUCGCCAUUGGAUGGGCCCGCGUAGGAUUAGCUAGUUGGUGAGGUAACGGCUCACCAAGGCGACGAUCCUUAGCUGGUCUGAGAGGAUGAUCAGCCACACUGGGACUGAGACACGGCCCAGACUCCUACGGGAGGCAGCAGUGGGGAAUGUUGGACAAUGGGCGAAAGCCUGAUCCAGCCAUGCCGCGUGAGUGACGAAGGCCUUAGGGUUGUAAAGCUCUUUUGGCGGGGAAGAUAAUGACGGUACCCGCAGAAUAAGCUCCGGCUAACUUCGUGCCAGCCGCCGCGGUAACAC
rnacentral:rRNA from 1 species